rnacentral:rRNA from 1 species
CCAGACUCCUACGGGAGGCAGCAGUGGGGAAUAUUGCACAAUGGGGGAAACCCUGAUGCAGCGACGCCGCGUGAGUGAAGAAGUAUUUCGGUAUGUAAAGCUCUAUCAGCAGGGAAGAUAAUGACGGUACCUGACUAAGAAGCCCCGGCUAACUACGUGCCAGCAGCCGCGGUAAUACGUAGGGGGCAAGCGUUAUCCGGAUUUACUGGGUGUAAAGGGAGCGUAGGUGGCAGGGCAAGUCAGAUGUGAAAACCCGGGGCUCAACCCCGGGACUGCAUUGGAAACUGGCAGGCUGGAGUGCCGGAGAGGCAGGCGGAAUUCCUAGUGUAGCGGUGAAAUGCGUAGAUAUUAGGAGGAACACCAGUGGCGAAGGCGGCCUGCUGGACGGUGACUGACGCUGAGGCUCGAAAGCGUGGGGAGCAAACAGGAUUAGAUACCCCCGUAA